AGUUUGUUGAGUAUUUCGCGCUGAUGAUGGGCUGGAACGAAUCUCUUCCUCAUCUGUAUAACAAGCUGAUCCCAAGUAGUAAUUGGAAGUUCUCUAAGGCGAUUUCUGGUGACUCCCAACUGUUCCCACCAUAGAAGCGCAUACCCAUGAAAUUCUGACACUGCAAUUUUCACCUUGUUGAGCUCGUAGGUUCCUUGGACCAGAAAAUUAGACUCCAUCUUCCUUUCCCAAUCUAGAUAAGCUUCGGGAUCAUUGGUUCCAUGGAAAGGAGGAUACUGGAUUUUGAUAUGACGCAGCUGCUGACGUAGAGGAUCAUAAUCUCGACCAUGUCCUCGGCCUCGAUCUCGUCUCACAGUUUCUCGGCUAUGAUCAGAAGCUUCGUCCUCCUCAUAGUAUUCUGGGUCUGAUUCCAGGGUAACUCGAUGCCCAGCAAUAUAUUCCUCUCUGCGGUGCUGACGAUC
rnacentral:lncRNA from 1 species